UUUCGACGGUAUGGUAUUGGCUUACCGUGGCAGUGACGGUUAACGGGGGAUUAGGGUUCGAUUCCGGAGAGGGAGCCUGAGAAACGGCUACCACAUCUAAGGAAGGCAGCAGGCGCGCAAAUUACCCAAUUCUAACAGCAUAAGAGAGGUAGUGACAAGAAAUAACAAUACAAGGCAGUUAAAAUGUUUUGUAAUUGGAAUGAUAGAAAUUUAAACACUUUUUAAAGUAUCAAUUGGAGGGCAAGUCUGGUGCCAGCAGCCGCGGUAAUUCCAGCUCCAAUAGCGUAUAUUAAAAUUGUUGCAGUUAAAAAGCUCGUAGUUGAAUUUUUGCUUAAAAUAACUGGUCUGCUUUUAACAAAAGUGGUAUCUUGGUGUGUUUUUAGCAAUAUUGUCCUUUGAAAUGUGUUUUACUUUGCUGUAAAAGACAAUAUUCAGGAUUUUUACUUUGAGAAAAUUAGAGUGUUUCUAGCAGGCUAAUGCUUUGAAUACUGCAGCAUGGAAUAAUAAAAUAGGAAUUUGGUUCUACAUUAUUGGUUUUAAGAGCUGAAUUAAUGAUUGAUAGGAACAGUUGGGGGCAUUUGUAUUUAACUGUCAGAGGUG
rnacentral:rRNA from 1 species